UGCCCGGUGGUGUAAUGGUAACACAUCGGCCUUUGGAGCCGAGUUUCGAGGUUCGAGUCCUCGCCGGGCAG
rnacentral:tRNA from 1 species